rnacentral:rRNA from 1 species
AGCUCCAAUAGCGUAUAUUAAAGUUGUUGCGGUAAAAAGCUCGUAGUUGGAUUUCUGUUGAGGACGGUCGGUCCACACCAUGUGUGGUAUCAGAUUUCGGCCUCGGCAUCCUCUCAGCAAACGUUCCUGCGCUUGAUUGCGUGGGGCGGUUUCUGGGACUUUUACUUUGAGGAAAUUAGAGUGUUCACGGCAGGCUAUCGCCAGAAUACAUUAGCAUGGAAUAAUACUAUAGGAUCUCGGUUCUAUUUUGUUGGUUUCUAGGAUUGAGAUAAUGAUUAAUAGGGACAAUUGGGGGCAUUCGUAUCAACACGUCAGAGGUGGAAUUCUUGGAUUGUGUUGCGACGAACUACUGCGAAAGCAUUUGCCAAGGAUGUUUUCA